AAUGUUGACCUCAUUUUUCACGGAUACACAACCGGAUUCUAACAUUCCGAAGCCUAUUGCAAAUUCCAUGAUGUUCAAAUCGUUACUUCAUUGCUGGAAGAAGACUGGCUACUGAUGUUUUCAUUCGCAUAUAUGGAAAUAGACGGAAGAAGACGGGACAAACAAAUUAAAAAUUGAAGCUGUACGGGCAAAACAAGUCUGAUAUUGGUAUUGGUAUUGAAAAUAACGUCACGACUUCUGUCAGCAACCCGCAUCUAGCGCAUCUAUUAAAAGGAGUGGAUUGGUAGAAUUAAACCAAAAAGAAAUAUCUAAGAAUCCCAUAAAAUUUUAACUUUUUUUAUUGGCCUUACAUCUUUUCGUGAUGUUACAGAAAAUUUUUUUCUUCGCUCGUAUAUCCAACAAUUUCUCUUCGUUCGUUCAAUGAUUAAAUAACGUCAAAAUCAUGUAUAAUACAAUAAUACUAAUCUAAAUUGUUGAAUAUAUCACGUAUAGAAUUCUGUUAUCUAUACCAUACUUCGAAUUUAUAAUGGUACGAUAAUUACUAUUCUUGGAAAAUAUAUUAUGAAUGUAAU